UGACCUGCUCAGGAUAAGCGGGGCGUCUUAAACAUCAAGCGACGAUAACCCAGCUUCUGGGGGAUUAGUGCGAAGGUGAGUACACGUGAGUACCUCCCUAAUCUGGGAUAACCGGGAAACUGGGUCUAAUCCGGAUAGGAGCGCCGACCGCAUGGUGGGUGUGGAAAGAUUUAUCGGUUUGGAUGGACUCGCGGCCUAUCAGCUUGUGGUGAGGUAAUGGCUCACCAAGGCGACGACGGGUAGCCGGCCGAGAGGGUGACCGGCCACACUGGGACUGAGACACGGCCCAGACUCCUACGGGAGGCAGCAGUGGGGAAUAUUGCACAAUGGGCGCAAGCCUGAUGCAGCGACGCCGCGUUGAGGGAUGACGGCCUCGGGUUGUAAACCUCGGUCGAGUAGGGAAGAAGCGAAAAGGAC
rnacentral:rRNA from 1 species